UCCCUGGUAGCCUAGUGGCUAAGGACUCAGCAUUGUCACUGCUGUGGCAUGGGUUAAAUCCCUGGCUUGGGAA
rnacentral:tRNA from 1 species